AUGGCGGGACCAAAAAAGGGCUCUUCUUUUACUUGGCAAAGUAUUGUAUCGGGUAUACAAACUUUUAAGAGAGGAUGCAUUUGGCGGGUGGGUACGGGCUCACAGAUUAAUAUCUGGAAUGAUCCUUGGAUCCCUACUAGUGAAACAAGGAAAAUUAUAACUCCAAGGGGAGCUACUAUGCUAACCAAGGUGGAGGAGUUAAUUGAUCCCUAUACUGGGCAGUGGGAUGAGAUAUUGAUCAGAGAUGUUUUUUGGCAAGUUGAUGCACAUAGAAUCUUGCAAAUACCUCUCAGAGUGCAGGUGAUGGAAGACUUUGUAUCAUGGGACUAUAACAGAUCGGGCGUUUUCAAUGUGCGAUCAGCCUAUCAUGUGCAAUUCCAACACCAAUUUGGAGGUAGGGAGAACUUAAGCGCAUCACAAGGUAGCAGUCCAAAUCAUAUCUGGAAACGUGUGUGGGGACUGAGAAUUCCUGGCAAAGUUAAACAUUUCGUGUGGAAGGUGAUUAGGGGAGUUUUACCAUGCUAUGGUACCCUUGCAAACCGCCAUAUUCCAGUGACGGGACAAUGCCCAAUAUGCAAGACAGGAUAUGAGGAUUCGCAACACUGCUUAUUCACAUGUAAGAGGGCAAAGGAUAUUUGGAAGGAGCUGGGACUA
rnacentral:rRNA from 1 species